rnacentral:rRNA from 1 species
UGCGUAGGUGGCCUUUUAAGUUGGAUGUGAAAUACCCGGGCUUAACUUGGGGGUGCAUCCAAAACCUAGGGAGGCUAGAGUGCAGGAGAGGAAAGCGGAAUUCCUAGUGUAGCGGUGAAAUGCGUAGAUAUUAGGAGGAACACCAGUGGCGAAGGCGGCUUUCUGGACUGUAACUGACACUGAGGCACGAAAGCGUGGGGAGCAAACA